UACGGGGGGGGCAAGCGUUGUUCGGAAUUACUGGGCGUAAAGGGUGCGUAGGCGGUUCGCUAAGUUGGAUGUGAAAACUCUGGGCUCAACCCAGAGCCUGCAUCCAAUACUGACGAGCUAGAGUUCUGGAGGGGAUAGCGGAAUUCCUGGUGUAGCGGUGAAAUGCGUAGAUAUCAGGAGGAACACCGGUGGCGAAGGCGGCUAUCUGGACAGAGUCUGACGCUGAGGCACGAAAGCUAGGGGAGCAAACAGG
rnacentral:rRNA from 1 species